rnacentral:lncRNA from 10 species
AUCCAGCCCGGCCGCUCCGCGGGUGGAGGAGGACGCGGGACGCUCGGGCUCCCAGGCGCUGCCGCUGCGGGUCCCAUGGCGCACGCAGGUGCCUGCGGAAAACAGCGGCGACAUCGCGGCCAGCCUGGGCUUGUUUUCCCGGUAGUACUGGGUUCUGAGAGAGAGUAACUGCAUGGAAGGCCUUGAAGACUGGGCUUGGGCCUGCUGUACCCACAUGACUGCUUCUGCCACGUUCUACUGGCCAAGCUCUAUGGGCAGCUCAGACACAAGGGAAGAGACUCUGCUGCUUCCUGGGAGAAGCUGCAAGACCACAUUGCGAAGGAACAUGUUGUUGCUGCUCCCAUGUUACCUUCGUCAGUGACCUGAGAUGCAGACUGGAUCUAGGGAAUGGUGUUUCCUGUGUGAUGCCUUCCAGGAGUAUCUGCACCACGGGCAGUGCCAGGCCGAGGACAGAGGGCCUAAUGGAGGACACUCUACAACUCCAUCCUGCUGCUGGGGGGGCUUGGGGGCGCCUCCACGAGGGUCUUCAGAGGAAAGGCAUGUGUGUGGUCUGUGGCCUGCCAGCAGGAGAGCUGGGGGAGGCCGGCAUCUUGAGGCUGUUGGCAGCAAGUGCAGGCAGAGGCCUCGGGCCAGAGGGGAGGUGGCAGGGCUCAGGUGCCCUGUGCUUCCUCGGAGAAGGCACUUGGGAUGAAGGCUUAGUCCUGCCUGGUAAACCUGGAGGCCUGUGAACACUGGGGUUAGCCCCAACAAGGGAGGAGGUUCCCGCUGCCUCACUAAGAACAGCCUGCUGCUACACUCACCCUGACAGCUGCUCCGCUCCCAGUGAACCCCACCCCGAGAAGGCUCAUCGGGGCCACGGACCUCCCUCAGCGCUGCAUUCAGAAUCCCUCAGGAGUUGUAAACUUCCUGAUUUCUGGACCCAUCACCAGAGCCCAACGUCACGGGUAAGGGUUAGGGCCUGGAUGUCAGGAUUCAAUUUGGAGAAUUCCCCGGGGCAAUUCCACCAUUGCAGACACUGAAACGGAGCUGGGGCAGAAGAAUCACACCAGGUGGCUCGAGCUGAGCGGCUGGGAGUGUGGCAGUGAAGACACUGAGUGUCCGUCAGGGAAGAUGGCUCUGGGUACAACAGCGUGCCCAGCCCCUUAGAUAUUCUCUGCACGGAAGUGGCCCCACCCUGAAGCGCGUGUGCAGUGACUGUUCAUGCUUCUGUGUGUGUGCAGGAGUAGUUUGGUUGGAGUGUGCAUAUGCGAAUGUGUGUGUAUGGAAGUCUAUCUAUCUGUAAUGUAAAGCAGUUGCGUAAUGCAAAUGUGUGUGUAUGGACAUCUAUCUGUAAUGCAAAGCAGUUGCGUAAUGCAAAUGUGUGUGUAUGGAUGUCUAUCUAUCUGUAAUGUAAAGUUCCCAAGUAUUGUGUAUAUCAUUGUUUGAGUUUUUAAAUUCUAAGAUAAUUUCUAGAGAAAAAGAUGUACGGGUGAUUCCUGGUGAAAAGCAGGGACCGUGGGCCUCAUAUUGAGACACAUUUCACGCUGUUUAGAUUGUAAUGGCAAUUAUGUAUGACUUUUGUACGUUUUUUAAAAAGCCAAUAAAAUACAUUUUAAAAUGUG